UACUAAAAUCAACCAUCUAACAACCACACUUAAUAAAACACUUAAAUACGCACUCCUACUAACCAACCAAAUCAAAGUACUAAAAAGGAAAAUAAUAAUAACAUAAAGUAGUGAUAGCUCACGUACCUUGUGCAUUAUGGUUUUACAAGCUAUAAAUUUACAAUAUUCUCCCGAAUUCUACACGAGCUGUCCGCAUAUAGCUCAGAGCCCACUAUUAGUUAUGGCAACAACUUUAGAAAAUAUGCUGACAGAGGCUACAUACCACACGCGUUAGAAAAUUGCUGGUCUUCAGUAAAAUUUAUUAAUUAAAACAUGUAGUAAUAACUACAGUGUAAGACUCCAGAGGACAAGCCCUGCAGUCUUAAGCUAAUAAAUACUCUACAAAAUAUUUAGGCCUAAAAACAGCCAUCUUCAUUACUUUACCGUAAUAUUUAUAUAAUACCUAAAAUUGUAUUGCACAACAAAACUGAAAUUUAAGAUAAACCUCAAAUAUUAAAAUAUUAUGUAAAAAUAAGUAUUAGAUAUAAACAAUCGCAACAUCAAAUCUUUCUCUCAAUAAAACAAACAAAUUCUCGUUAAAAUAUGAGAAGUAAUUCCUGCCCAGUGACUUAAUUCAACGGCCGCGGUAUCCUAACCGUGCAAAGGUAGCAUAAUCACUUGCCCAUUAAUUGUGGGCUAGAAUGAAAGGACUAACGAAAUAAAGACUGUCUCUAUAAGCACCAUAAAAAUUAAUCUCUAACUGAAGAGUGUUAGAUAUCGUCGAAGGACAAGAAGACCCUAUAGAGCUUUAUUUUAAUAAAACCCAAAAAUUUUUGAUAAAAUUCGGUUGGGGCGACCAGGGAAUAUAUAUCAUCCCUAUAAAAAAGAUAAAUCAAUCUAAACUCUGACCCUUAAAUAAGAUCAACAAAUUAAGCUACCUUAGGGAUAACAGGCUAAUCCCGCUAAAGAGUCCUUAUCAAUAGUGGGGGUUGGCACCUCGAUGUUGGCUUAGGGAAUCUAUGUGGCGCAAAAGUCACAUAAAGAUGGUUUGUUCAACCAAUAACACCCUACAUGAGCUGAGUUCAGACCGGCGUAAGCCAGGUUAGUUUCUAUCCUCGAUUAAUAAUCUAUUUAUAGUACGAAAGGACCUAAAUAGAAUAAUAAUUAUACCCAAAGAAUUAAUAUAAUACAUCUUUAAAUCAAAAGUACAUAAACUA
rnacentral:rRNA from 1 species